GUCCCUGCUGCGCAAUGGUCAGCGCGUUGGACUUCUAUUCCAAUGCAGGUGAGUACAUUACGCCACGGGGGUCGAGGGUUUGAAUCCUACCUGGGAUG